rnacentral:rRNA from 1 species
UACAGAGGUCCCAAGCGUUGUUCGGAAUUACUGGGCGUAAAGGGCGCGUAGGCGGCCUGCUAAGUCGAACGUGAAAUCCCCGGGCUCAACCCGGGAACUGCGUCCGAUACUGGUUGGCUUGAAUCCGGGAGAGGGAUGCGGAAUUCCAGGUGUAGCGGUGAAAUGCGUAGAUAUCUGGAGGAACACCGGUGGCGAAGGCGGCAUCCUGGACCGGCAUUGACGCUGAGGCGCGAAAGCCAGGGGAGCAAACGGG